GCUCCUUCUGGUCGGGCAAUCUUGCGCGUGGCCUGCCCCGCCACAACUCCACCAUCGUGCUGCUCGACCAAGGUACG
rnacentral:tRNA from 1 species